rnacentral:lncRNA from 1 species
UAAUUUCUGGUUUGAUAAUAACUCCUACCAAACGACCCCUAAAUAAACACUGCACGUUAAAGAGAAGAAAACAUAAGUAUAAGGGAGGGAGCAAAAAAGCUGAGUGUCAGUAUGGCGUGCAUAACAUAGCAAAUUGGGUGUCUUAAUCACUACAAACUGAAAAAAGGAAGAAUAGUCUCCCACUUUGCCCUGAAAAAUCAUAAGUGAAAAUACAGAAAAAAAUAAACUUUAGUAAAAGAAGCAACAAGAAUAGGAAAAAGGGUAAUUAAAGAAAAAAAAAGAAACAAAUACUCUCAAAUAUGCUGCUUUUUUUUAGUUUAUCCUUGAUAAGAAAUAGUAAAAUAGAAAAUUCUGAUACCAAAAAGUUGUUUGUGCUGAUUCUAGCAAAACUGGUAAGCACAUACUAGCAAAUCUUGGCUUUUUGGGCUAUUUUUGUUCUGCAUUUCUUGUACUUCUUUUUCCCCAGCUACUGGAAACAGGAUACUACAACUCAUUUUCUUGAUGCUCCUCACGUUAUUAUGGUGGCUUUAUUUCUGCUUUGUUGGUUUCUGUGUUUCUUUUCCCCUCCCCCCCCCCCCCCACCACACACACUUCUGCAUGUGGGUUUUUUGAUUUUUUUCGUUUAAACUUCUGUAAAAAGUAGUUCUUGAACAAGUUUUGGGAUGAUAUUUUUGUAGGUAUUUUUCCUUUUGCUUUGAUAUUAGUCUAUUUGAAGUAAAUUUCUUGUGUUUCUACAUAGGGGGUUUCAUGUAAAUAGCAAGUCUUGGGUUUUGUUGGGUGUUUACAAAGAGAGUGGCCUUUGGGUUGUGUCUUUCAAAUGCAUAGUUAAACAUAACGAGAGUUCUCUGAAUUUUUUCACAUUUUUUUACUGGCUAGAUUUCUGCUGUCUGAGUUGAUUCUUUUUGCUUCCGCAGAUAUUAUUCGUAGCUGAUGUUUGAUUUUGUCUUUGAAUAAUAUAUUUUAAUCUAUGCUUCUAUUUAUUCUUGUGAUCUUCUCAUUAAUUUUAUGUUCUUUUUCAGCUUUGCAAAACUAUAAAAGAUAGAUGCUUGCUGUCUCCUGUUUAGGUGGUUCCUUCAACUGAUACCGAGAUGCUGUUUUCCGUUGCAGGUUCUUCAAAUCUCCCACCUUUCAAUUAAAAUAACAAUAAUAUUUUACAAUUUCUGGAUUUACAUGUGAUUUCUGGUUGAAAGUUUGGAUCUUUUCAAGACCCCAUUUUUAGUUUCUCUCUUCUGUGUGGCCUAUAUAUAUAUAUAUAUAUAUAUAUAUAUAUAUAU